AGAAAGGGGAGCAAUACCUGAGUAAAGUGGCGCACGGGUGAGUAACACGUGACUAACCUACCCUGGAGUGGGGGAUAACUGAGGGAAACCUUAGCUAAUACCGCAUAACACCUACGGGUCAAAGGAGCAAUUCGCUUCAGGAGGGGGUCGCGGCCGAUUAGUUAGUUGGCGGGGUAAUGGCCCACCAAGACUGUGAUCGGUAUCCGGCCUGAGAGGGCGCACGGACACACUGGAACUGAAACACGGUCCAGACUCCUACGGGAGGCAGCAGUGGGGAAUUUUGCGCAAUGGGGGAAACCCUGACGCAGCAACGCCGCGUGGAGGAUGAAGUACUUCGGUACGUAAACUCCUUUCGAUCGGGACGAUUAUGACGGUACCGGAAGAAGAAGCCCCGGCUAACUUCGUGCCAGCAGCCGCGGUAAUACGAGGGGGGCAAGCGUUGUUCGGAAUUAUUGGGCGUAAAGGGUGCGUAGGCGGUUUUGUAAGUCUUGUGUGAAAUCUUCAGGCUCAACUUGAAGACUGCACGAGAAACUGCAGGGCUUGAGUGUGGGAGAGGUGAGUGGAAUUCCUGGUGUAGCGGUGAAGUGCGUAGAUAUCAGGAGGAACACCUGUGGCGAAAGCGGCUCACUGGACCACAACUGACGCUGAUGCACGAAAGCUAGGGGAGCAAACAGGAUUAGAUACCCUGGUAGUCCUAGCCCUAAACGAUGACUGC
rnacentral:rRNA from 1 species